UCAAUUAGCCCUCUCCCUGUAUUCUGAUUCAUUUCCAGCAGCAGACGUGCCAAAGACUGGCAGGAACUCAGGGAAAUAUAUCCUGAGCACAGGUGGUAUGUUGAAUAUGCCUUGGUGCUUUAUUUGAACUAACCAACUGAUACAUUUAAACAAUAUAGGCAUGAGACGGAGGGGGAAACUAGGAGACAGAACUGGCGAUAAAUUUGAGGGACUCACUGCUACCUCUAGGUCGAGAUGAGAUUUCUGUCGUGCAUUAAGCUAAUUUGGAUUGUGAAUGAAUACAAGUCCAGGAAGUCGAUUCUGAGACCCGAUACCCUGCGAGGGGAGUGCAGGAUAAGCAGGAGACAUUAAUUAGCGCUGCCUUAAGCAGUUUUACCGACGCAGGCGGGACUGUGGUGGAGCACUGGAGAUGCUGCGAGCCCUGAGCUGCCUUCACAGCCUUGUUGGGUGUGCUGCUGGAUCACACUGCAUGAGAAAUGGAAGCAACCUAUCUGUAAAGAGCCUGCAAACCUCAGGACGCUCUGGAAGCCAGUGGAAUAAUUACAGUGGGAUGAGGCUGCAAGUCCCCUUGCUUCCUGAGCUGCAUUCAUGGCUGUGUGAAGGGGAGAAAGGAAUACAUUUGAGGUCUUUUCAUGGAAGACACAGAUAUUUUAAUGUUGCGAUACCAUCCAACAGGGUGAGCUGAGAGAACCAACACUAAGAGUUUCACAGAUAGAACACCACUAUUCCCUGUGUAAAACAGGAGGUAGGCAGGCGUAGGCCUCCCCUGGAAAACAAUGUUUUAAGAGCUCAUAAAUACCUAGACGUCAAAUCAUCCUCGUUUCUAGUGUUUGUAUAGAUAUUUCCAAUAAUAUAUUUAGUGGGCUCACUUUUUUAU
rnacentral:lncRNA from 1 species